CGGGGUAUAGCGCAGCCUGGUAGCGCGCCUGCCUUGGGCGCAGGAAGUCGGGGGUUCAAAUCCCUCUACCCCGA
rnacentral:tRNA from 1 species